GUGGGGAAUAUUGCACAAUGGGGGAAACCCUGAUGCAGCGACGCCGCGUGAGUGAAGAAGUAUUUCGGUACGUAAAGCUCUAUCAGCAAGGAAGAAAAUGACGGUACUUGACUAAGAAGCCCCGGCUAACUACGUGCCAGCAGCCGCGGUAAUACGUAGGGGGCAAGCGUUAUCCGGAUUUACUGGGUGUAAAGGGAGCGUAGACGGUAUGGUAAGUCAGAUGUGAAAGCCCGGGGCUCACCCCGGGACUGCAUUUGAAACUAUCAGACUAGAGUGCAGGAGAGGUAAGUGGAAUUCCUAGUGUAGCGGUGAAAUGCGUAGAUAUUAGGAGGAACACCAGUGGCGAAGGCGGCUUACUGGACUGUAACUGACGUUGAGGCUCGAAAGCGUGGGGAGCAAACAGGAUUAGAUACCCGAGUAGUCU
rnacentral:rRNA from 1 species